rnacentral:tRNA from 1 species
GGGGAUUUAGCUCAGUUGGGAGAGCGUCACGCUGGCAGUGUGAAUGUCGCAGGUUCGAAUCCUGUAAUCUCCA